rnacentral:rRNA from 1 species
GACGAACGCUGGCGGCGUGCCUAAUACAUGCAAGUUGAGCGCUGAAGGUUGGUACUUGUACCAACUGGAUGAGCAGCGAACGGGUGAGUAACGCGUGGGGAAUCUGCCUUUGAGCGGGGGACAACAUUUGGAAACGAAUGCUAAUACCGCAUAAAAACUUUAAACACAAGUUUUAAGUUUGAAAGAUGCAAUUGCAUCACUCAAAGAUGAUCCCGCGUUGUAUUAGCUAGUUGGUGAGGUAAAGGCUCACCAAGGCGAUGAUACAUAGCCGACCUGAGAGGGUGAUCGGCCACAUUGGGACGGAGACACGGCCCAAACUCCUACGGGAGGCAGCAGUAGGGAAUCGGCGGAAAGGGACGAAAGUCUGACCGAGCAACGCCGCGUGAGUGAAGAAGGUUUUCGGAUCGUAAAACUCUGUUGGUAGAGAAGAACGUUGGUGAGAGUGGAAAGCUCAUCAAGUGACGGUAACUACCCAGAAAGGGACGGCUAACUAC